rnacentral:rRNA from 1 species
UUUAAUUCGAAGCAACGCGCAGAACCUUACCAACCCUUGACAUGCCCUGACCGGCCCGGAGACGGGUCUUCCCCGCAAGGGGCAGGUGCACAGGUGCUGCAUGGCUGUCGUCAGCUCGUGUCGUGAGAUGUUCGGUUAAGUCCGGCAACGAGCGCAACCCACACCCUCGGUUGCCAGCGGGUCAAGCUGGGGCACUUUGGGGGAACUGCCCGUGAUAAGCGGGAGGAAGGUGUGGAUGACGUCAAGUCCUCAUGGCCCUUACGGGUUGGGCCACACACGUGCUACAAUGGCGGUGACAGAGGGUUCAUCCCCAAAAGCCGUCUCAGUUCGGAUUGUCCUCUGCAACUCGAGGGCAUGAAGUCGGAAUCGCUAGUAAUCGCGCAACAGCACGGCG